rnacentral:SRP_RNA from 2 species
GCCGAGCUCAGCAGCGCGAGCUUGUAACCCGAGCGGGGGCAUUAAGGUGGUGUGGACGUUGCCGUAUGGCUGCGCGCCUGGGUUGGCAGUGCCAUAGAUGGCCCGCCCGUUCCAAGUUGCGUAGUUGGGCCAGCGGGGCUUGGGCGAAAGCUCUGGGCCUCACGGUUCCUAGAGUGGCAGGCAUUGCGUGAGGCUGGCUUCAUAAAAUCCACUCUCUACCCUUAUUCGUGGUUUGAUUGAUGAAUUACAUGGGCAACGCAGGUGAUGGCGUUCCUGGCGCGGCCGGACAAGACGUC